rnacentral:lncRNA from 1 species
UGUACUGUCUUUGAACUGUGCCCAACCUUGGUAUCAAGCCCAGACCCAUGUAUCAUCCUAACAGACUGGCCUCACUGAUCAAGCAUGCUCCAGCAUAAGCUGCAGGCUAGGUUAAAGGUUGUUGGAUGAGAGGAGAYUGACACUUUCUCCAAGAAAGUAUUGGUGAAAACAUGAGUUUACUCUGAAAACAAAUUCCAAAGCAAUAGUGGAGCAUCACAUGACGCAAUCAGGCUGUUUCAUCUGCCUAGAGGGCAAGUUGCAACAUCCAGAACCAUCCUUCAGUGAUCCCAUUAAGUAUUUGAGACAUAAAAGAAGAAAAUUAUCCUGCAGUGUUCUGACAGCAGCUCGUUUCUUAAAUGCUAAAAGGUUGUCCUCACAGCAGUCUGAAUAAACCAGGACCUCUGGAAGAUAAAGAGCACUGGAGAAGUAAGUGUAACAUCCCUUACGUUAUCCCAUUAUUCCUGUGGUG